GUUACAGAACAAAAGUAAAAAAACUUAAAAUUGGAACGAUACAGAGAAGAUUAGCAUGGCCCCUGCGCAAGGAUGACACGCACAUUCGUGAAGCGUUCCAUAUUUUU